UUUUUUUUUUUUUUUUUUUGGUGUUACUUUUUCUAAUUCUCUCCCCCAUCCCACUGGGGUGGGGUGGGGUGGUGGUGUGUAUGCAGGGGGUAGUGAUCACGCAGCUGUGUGGUACCUCAGUUUUGGUCUGAGAGUGCGCCACAGCAUUUGGGAAUUGAAAUAAGUUCUCAAUGGACUGUAGUCCUACUGUCAGCAGACAUUUCUCCCUUUCUUAUGUUUUAUAAUUUCCAAGUAGUUUAAUAAAGAGAAGGAAGACAAAGGUCUUAUUUUGCAUUUUUCUCAACUAAAAUGAACCAAAACUAACAAAUCCAAUUGCGACCUACUUGACUCCAUAAUAAUAGAGUUCAUUUCCAUGAUAACUCUAGAUUGGUAGCCCAGAAAGUAUGAGCCAGUGAAUUUGUGUGGUUCUGAAUAUAUGAGUAAGCUUCUUCCGAAUCAUAGUAUCAGAAGAUUCUGAGUUGGAAGGGACCCACAAGGAUGGAUCAUCAAAUCCAACUCUUAAGUGAAUGGCCCAUAAAAGUGUUGAACCUAUAACCUUGGUGGUGUUAGCACCAAUCUCAUAGAGUAACUCUUCUACUGUAUUGAAAAGAAAAUAAAAUUUCUUGUUCAUCACUUAGAGGAAGCCAAAAUAAAUCCCCUCUACAUUCUGAAUGGAAAGCUAGCUGUUAAUCCUACCAUGUGCAUAGGAUAUGGUGUGUCAGGCUGGGCUGGGAGCAAGUAAAACUGUCCCCACUUAACUCAGCAACUAUCCAAUGACUCUGGAUGGCUCCAGAGGUGGCACACCAGAAGCACCCCCACAGCUGCAGCUCUGCCCUUACAGCAAAAGCUGCUGAAGUCACUGUCUGCAGGAUGUGUUCUAACUACCCCAUCCCUUCAAAGCCUCAGAGUCGGCAUUACUGAGACAUGCAAUCUUCCCAGGCAGCUUUUCUAAACUGUACCACUCCUUCUAUAAAUACAGCAGUUGCAAAGCGAGUGUACUAAACAGAUUCUUAGCAGCAUAUUCCUAUCAGCCCAAGUCUCUACUGACACUUCCUUCCUGGUAGACAAAAAACACCAGGUGUCUAAUAGGGGAAUUAGCCAUAUUGGCAAAGGGGAAUUUCAGACUACCAGCUGUACAAAGACUGUGAGCUAAAUUAUCCAGCUACAGUGAAUCAUGUUGAAGGAAAGGUGUACCUGUAGCAGACUAAUCCAAAUACCAGUGCUUAUGCAACACUUAAGUCACAUUUAAGCCGUAUUUGGAAAUCUUCCUGUGGUACACAAGUCUUGUAAUGAAUCAAGAAGUCAGGUACAGGAAUGAAACAUUUCAAACAGACAGGAAAAGAAACAGCUGCUAUUAGAUGAUACUGAGAAAACUACAGAUAAACAUAGAGAACACUGAACAGGAAAAACAACAUAAUAGGAAAUACCAAAAUUAAAAAAAAAACCCAAACCUAAAUCCAAAAAGGAACUAUAAAAAUGAAAUUUAAAAUAGAAACAUAUCAAAACUAAAAGCAUACAUUUUGAUAUCUUCAACAGCACCCUGAGCCAACAGAACUAAAGAAGUAGUAUUGAUAAACAGCUGACAGUUGCUUUAGUGACAGAAACUAGCUAUUUCUUUUGCAUCUUUCUUGGCUAGUAAGGAAUGAACAGUUCCUGUUGUACCCAUAUGACUCUAUGACCCCAUCAGCAUUCCCUUAUCUUCAAAAACAUGAAACCAAAUUUUAGCCCAUUCAGCUAUCAAAGUCACCAACUUAAACUGAUAUUGUAAUCACAGGUUUUUUUAUUGAUAACAUUCAGAAAUAUUUGACAUAGAAUUAGGCUCUCCUGGUCUUAGUUGGAGAGUAUCCUGUAAAAACAAAACCAUUUGCGGCUGAGCAUGUGUCCACUUGAAAAGUUGAGAUUAAAUACUUCCUCCUGAAGAGCAUAGAGAUGACUCAUGUUUAUCCCAUGUUGCCAUCUUGUAAAUAAAAACUUGCCUUUCUUCUAAGAUGGCUGGAAGAAAACAAAUAUAUCCAGUUAAAAAAAUGCAUUUUGCGCUCCAUUUUUCCAUUAAAUGGUCAGACUGGCUACAGAGACACUCUCAAAAUGGUUACUAAUAGUUAUUUCCUAAUACUCAUAGAAAUAUAGGUUCUGCAACCUGAAUCUACUUAGCUGUGGUUUCAGCAAAACAGUAUUUUUCCAUCUUUUUAAAAUUAUUGUUAUUAUUAUUCUGGCUCUUCUUUCUAGACAUCAGGUCUGAAAAAACAGAACACUGCUAAUACAAUGAGAAUCAACUAAAGAAGUAUUUGUACAACAACCACCUCAGUACAAAAGAAUACUGCUAGAAGAACAUUUGAUAAAGCUGUGAAGCUUCAUUCUGGAAAGGAAAAUAAAGAUUUUAAUACAUGUACCAUUCUUAGUGAUGAAGGAAAAUAUUUCAAAGGGCUAAAUCACCUCCCUAAAAAGUGGUACUAUAUUCCUGUCCAGUUGUAAUAAAUAUUUUUACUGCUCAUCAUAGUGAAAUACAUUCCUCUGUUUGAAUUAGGUUUUGUUUGCCAUCUGUUUUUCAGAAAUUCAUAUGCAAAAAGUAGUUUCUAAAAAUAGAAAGAAGUGUUCUGGCAAGGUGUUCCAUUAGCCAAAUACCCUAGGGUAUACCGUACCAUGGCAUCACCCCCAAAUUAUAUGGUAUCUGAACCACUGGUAUCUGAUAUCAGUGGCAUCACUGUAGCCGUACAAUAUUAAUAAUUAUUCCAAAUUUACCAAACAUUUUGCUUUCUGCACUAUAUUUUCAUACAGUCUGUUCGCAUGCAUGUUUGUAUUCCUCUGUGUCAGUGCCAACUCAGCUCCACUCACUAGAAGGUAACUUUCUGAGUCUGCCACGGGUGUUAGGGAAACUUCCCAGUCUGACCAUUCACAAAACUCUUACAGUCACAUACCCCGGAGGUGUCACAGGGGCAAAGGCUCCCACUGCUGGAAGCGCAGCCCCCGCACGGCGGGCGGCUCCAGAGAGGCGAGGGCGCCUCGCUUGACACAUCUCCCCACACCCCGGCUCUCACACGGUCAGACCAGGUUUCCUUACCGGUUCGACCCCGGUUUCCCAUAGCGGAAUCUCAGAUACCUCGUUCCAUAAAGCAAUUUAUUCCUGUGCAGUAACACAGAAACAUCUCGAGCUGGUGCCCCUGAGUAAAGCACCAGCAUAAAGAACCUAUGGGCUUCUACAGCCUCACAGUCGCCCCUUGAGCCAGUCUCGCUCUUCCGCCCGAGUCUUCGGCUCUUGUCCCACUCUUCAUGUUCAACGACUUCGCUCCUGCUGUGUCUCCCAGAGUCUGUUCACCUGGCUAGUGUCACCCUCUUCGCGCCCUCGGAUAUCCCGAAGGUUUGUAGUUCACGGCUUCUUGUCUCGGGCUCCCACCCAAAGCUUAACCUGCAUCUCAAUCGGCAGUUUGCGAUCCCAGCUACCUGGACCAGACGCACUCCUCAGCAUCUGGUCAGGCACGUAAGUAGAUGAUGUCUGAAACUCCGCUCCAUCCCCCUACCUCUUGUAUUAAUCCUUGCUGUCUGUUCUCGUCACCGUUCACCAAAGCCUGACAGCGGCACCCACGCAGCACUAACUGCCCGGGGACAUUAAUUCCAUCCGAGGGCGAUUCCGUCCCUAAUUCCCC
ensembl:lncRNA